rnacentral:rRNA from 1 species
UUGCGCUUCCGGGAUAUGCCUGGGAGCRUGCUUGUCGGAGUGUCUGUU